rnacentral:rRNA from 1 species
GUUGUAUGGUUAAGUGACUAAGCGUACACGGUGGAUGCCUUGGCAGUCAGAGGCGAUGAAAGACGUAGUAACUUGCGAUAAGCCCAGAUUAGGUAGUAACAACCAUUUGAGUCUGGGAUUUCUGAAUGGGGAAACCCACGUGCAUAAGCACGUAUCCUUACCUGAAUACAUAGGGUAAGGAGGCGAACCGGGGGAACUGAAACAUCUAAGUACCCCGAGGAAAAGAAAUCAACCGAGAUUCCGAAAGUAGCGGCGAGCGAAAUUGGACUAGCCCUUAAGCUUUACACGCGUUAGACGAACGGUCUGGAAAGUCCGACGAUACAGGGUGAUAGUCCCGUAGUUGACGACGUGUGUUCAGUGAAAUCGAGUAGGGCGGGACACGUGAUAUCCUGUCUGAAUAUGGGGGGACCAUCCUCCAAGGCUAAAUACUACUGACUGACCGAUAGUGAACCAGUACCGUGAGGGAAAGGCGAAAAGAACCCCUGUGAGGGGAGUGAAAUAGAACCUGAAACCGUGUACGUACAAGCAGUAGGAGCAGGCUUUGUCCUGUGACUGCGUACCUUUUGUAUAAUGGGUCAGCGACUUAUAUUCAGUGGCAAGGUUAACCAUCUAGGGGAGCCGUAGGGAAACCGAGUCUUAACUGGGCGUUCAGUCUCUGGAUAUAGACCCGAAACCAGGUGAUCUAGCCAUGGGCAGGUUGAAGGUUGAGUAACAUCAACUGGAGGACCGAACCGACUAAUGUUGAAAAAUUAGCGGAUGACUUGUGGCUAGGGGUGAAAGGCCAAUCAAACCUGGAGAUAGCUGGUUCUCCCCGAAAGCUAUUUAGGUAGCGCCUCGGACGAAUACUACUGGGGGUAGAGCACUGUUAAGGCUAGGGGGUCAUCCCGACUUACCAACCCUUUGCAAACUCCGAAUACCAGUAAGUACUAUCCGGGAGACACACGGCGGGUGCUAACGUCCGUCGUGGAGAGGGAAACAACCCAGACCGCCAGCUAAGGUCCCAAAUUACUACUAAGUGGGAAACGAUGUGGGAAGGCUCAGACAGCCAGGAUGUUGGCUUAGAAGCAGCCAUCAUUUAAAGAAAGCGUAAUAGCUCACUGGUCGAGUCGGCCUGCGCGGAAGAUGUAACGGGGCUAAGUAGUAAACCGAAGCUGCGGCAAUAUACUUUUGUAUAUUGGGUAGGGGAGCGUUCUGUAAGCCGUUGAAGGUGUGUUGUAAAGCAUGCUGGAGGUAUCAGAAGUGCGAAUGCUGACAUGAGUAACGAUAAAGGGGGUGAAAAACCUCCUCGCCGGAAGACCAAGGGUUCCUGUCCAACGUUAAUCGGGGCAGGGUAAGUCGACCCCUAAGGCGAGGCCGAAAGGCGUAGUCGAUGGGAAACGGGUUAAUAUUCCCGUACUUCUUACAAUUGCGAUGGGGGGACGGAGAAGGCUAGGUGGGCCUGGCGACGGUUGUCCAGGUUCAAGUGCGUAGGCUUAAGAGUUAGGUAAAUCCGGCUCUUUCUAAGGCUGAGACACGACGUCGAGCACCUACGGGUGUGAAGUCAUUGAUGCCAUGCUUCCAGGAAAAGCCUCUAAGCUUCAGAUUGUAAGGAAUCGUACCCCAAACCGACACAGGUGGUCGGGUAGAGAAUACCAAGGCGCUUGAGAGAACUCGGGUGAAGGAACUAGGCAAAAUGGUACCGUAACUUCGGGAGAAGGUACGCUCUUGAUGGUGAAGUCCCUUGCGGAUGGAGCUGACGAGAGUCGCAGAUACCAGGUGGCUGCAACUGUUUAUUAAAAACACAGCACUGUGCAAAAUCGUAAGAUGACGUAUACGGUGUGACGCCUGCCCGGUGCCGGAAGGUUAAUUGAUGGGGUUAGACUUCGGUCGAAGCUCUUGAUCGAAGCCCCGGUAAACGGCGGCCGUAACUAUAACGGUCCUAAGGUAGCGAAAUUCCUUGUCGGGUAAGUUCCGACCUGCACGAAUGGCGUAAUGAUGGCCACGCUGUCUCCACCCGAGACUCAGUGAAAUUGAAAUCGCUGUGAAGAUGCAGUGUACCCGCGGCUAGACGGAAAGACCCCGUGAACCUUUACUACAGCUUGGCACUGAACAUUGACCCUACAUGUGUAGGAUAGGUGGGAGGCUUUGAAGCAUGUACGCCAGUAUGUGUGGAGCCGUCCUUGAAAUACCACCCUUGUAGUGUUGAUGUUCUAACGUCGACCCCUUAUCGGGGUUGCGGACAGUGCCUGGUGGGUAGUUUGACUGGGGCGGUCUCCUCCCAAAGAGUAACGGAGGAGCACGAAGGUGGGCUAAUCACGGUUGGACAUCGUGAGGUUAGUGCAAUGGCAUAAGCCCGCUUGACUGCGAGAAUGACAAUUCGAGCAGGUGCGAAAGCAGGUCAUAGUGAUCCGGUGGUUCUGAAUGGAAGGGCCAUCGCUCAACGGAUAAAAGGUACUCCGGGGAUAACAGGCUGAUACCGCCCAAGAGUUCAUAUCGACGGCGGUGUUUGGCACCUCGAUGUCGGCUCAUCACAUCCUGGGGCUGAAGUCGGUCCCAAGGGUAUGGCUGUUCGCCAUUUAAAGUGGUACGCGAGCUGGGUUUAGAACGUCGUGAGACAGUUCGGUCCCUAUCUGCCGUGGGCGUUGGAAGAUUGAAGGGGGCUGCUCCUAGUACGAGAGGACCGGAGUGGACGAACCUCUGGUGUUCGGGUUGUGUCGCCAGACGCAUUGCCCGGUAGCUAAGUUCGGAAUCGAUAACCGCUGAAAGCAUCUAAGCGGGAAGCGAGCCCUGAGAUGAGUCUUCCCUGAUACUUUAAGUAUCCUAAAGGGUUGUCGGAGACUACGACGUUGAUAGGUCAGGUGUGUAAGUGCUGUGAGGCAUUGAGCUAACUGAUACUAAUUGCCCGUGAGGCUUAACCAUACAACACCCAAGGGGUUU